CAGCAGCCACGGUAAUACGAAAGGUCCAAGCGUUACUCGGAAUUACUGGGCGUAAAGCGCGCGUAGGCGGUCUUGUAUGUCGAUUGUGAAAGCCCCGGGCUCAACCUGGGAACUGCAGUCGAAACUGCAAGACUUGAAUGUUGGAGAGGUUGGGGGAAUACCUAGUGGAGAAGUGAAAUUCGUAGAGAUUAGGUGGAACACCAGAGGCGAAGGCGCCUGACUGGCCAAACAUUGACGCUAAGGCGCGAAAGCGUGGGUAGCGAACAGGAUUAGAUACCCCCGUAGUCCCUGUCUCUUAUAC
rnacentral:rRNA from 1 species